UACAGAGGGUGCAAGCGUUAAUCGGAAUUACUGGGCGUAAAGCGCGCGUAGGUGGUUUGUUAAGUUGAAUGUGAAAUCCCCGGGCUCAACCUGGGAACUGCAUUUGUGACUGUAGAGCUGGAGUACGGUAGAGGGGGAUGGAAUUCCGCGUGUAGCAGUGAAAUGCGUAGAUAUGCGGAGGAACACCGAUGGCGAAGGCAAUCCCCUGGACCUGUACUGACGCUCAUGCACGAAAGCGUGGGGAGCAAACAGG
rnacentral:rRNA from 1 species